UCUGUGUGUUUCAGUCUGUUCCUUGUGUAACAGGGUUAAAAAGAACCUUUGAUUUAAAAUUUUGUGUGAAUUUCAUAAAAUAAGGCAUUUGGGUGUAUUCAUUGGUGUUAGAAGGCUCCCCUCCUGUGGCUAUUAAUGGUACUGCAGAUAUUUGAUUUUGUCGCUCUUCUCUUGCCGUACCACAGCAGAUUCAAGUGUCGACGCUGUGGGUAUGUAUGGUUUUUCAUGCUCUGACGCAUUAACAAAUUAAUUGUGAAAAUGAUGCGUUUCAAGUGAAUCUUUUUGACUUAAUACAUUGCAUACAUAUAUGUGAACAUAUGGAUAAUGCAUUUUGCACUUUAACACGAUUGUUGAGAGUUUUAUAAGAUGUAUUGAAUUUACAUGUGCGUCACAUGUGCGAGCACGGAUUCAUUUCUUGUGAUUAUUGCGUCUGUCUUAACUAUCUGACGAUUUUUUGUAUUAUGAGUUAAUUGAAUGUGUAAUCUUUAUCUUUCUAGUCCAUAUGAAUGUCUGCAGUCUGUCAUCAGCCACAAUGUAACUUUUCUUUCUUGUUGUUUCCAAAAAAAGCAGAUUCAAGUGUCGACGCUGUGGUCCAUAUGAAUGUCUGCAGUCUGUCAUCAGCCACAAUGUAACUUUUCUUUCUUGUUGUUUCCAAAAAAAGAUAAACUGAAGCUGAAUCCCA